rnacentral:rRNA from 1 species
AUGAUUUUCUCUCAUUUUUGUAAAAGAAUUUUUCACGAUCCAACCGGAAUAGUUAUUGUCCUACGAUUCAUAUAUUUUAUAACAGUCUUAUUCAUCCUUAUAAAUCAUUGCAUAUUGUCUUCGUGUACGAUUGAGGCUAAAGUUUGUAUGAUCUCUUAUUCCUUUUUAGAUCCUAUUUUUUAUGUAAAAAAUAUUUUUGUUAUUUAUCUAGACACAUUGAAAGAAACUGAAACAUUUUUGCCCUCAGAGAGAGAGAGAGAGAGAGAGAGAGAGAGAGAGGGAGAGAGAGAGACAUUGGAGAAAAGCAAUGACAUGUUUUUUUUGUUUUAG